GGUGAUUUAGCUCAGUGGCACUGCACCUGCCUCGCAAGCAGAAGGUCCUGAGUUCUAUUCCCAUAUCGCCA
rnacentral:tRNA from 1 species